rnacentral:rRNA from 1 species
UACGGAGGGUGCAAGCGUUAAUCGGAAUUACUGGGCGUAAAGCGCGCGUAGGUGGCCUCAUAAGUCCGCUGUGAAAGUCAAAGGCUCAACCUUUGAAAGCCGGUGGAUACUGUGGGGCUAGAGUACGGAAGAGGCGAGUGGAAUUCCGAGUGUAGAGGUGAAAUUCGUAGAUAUUCGGAAGAACACCAGUGGCGAAGGCGACUCACUGGACACGUAUUGACGCUGAGGUGCGAAAGCGUGGGGAGCAAACAGG